UGAAUUGGACGGAGGGUUGUAAAGCACUUUUAUCACGAACGAAAUUUGACUGUUCAAUAUAGAGGGCUACUGACGGUACCGGAAGAAUAAGCACCGGCUAACUUCGUGCCAGCAGCCGCGGUAAUACGAAGGGUGCAAGCGUUAAUCGGAAUUACUGGGCGUAAAGCGUGCGCAGGCGGUUUUUUAAGCAAGACGUGAAAGCCCCGGGCUCAACCUGGGAAUGGCGUUUUGAACUGGUAGUCUAGAGUGUGUCAGAGGGGGGUGGAAUUCCACGGUGUAGCAGUGAAAUGCGUAUAUAUGUGGAGGAACACCAAUGGCGAAGGCAGCCCCCUGGGAUAACACUGACGCUCAUGUACGAAAGCGUGGGUAGCAAACAGGAUUAGAUACCCUGGUAGUCCACGCCCUAAACGAUGUCAACUGGUUGUUGGGGGAGUGAAAUCCCUUAGUAACGAAGCUAAACGCGUGAAGUUGACCGCCUGGGGAGUACGGUCGCAAGAUUAAAAACUCAAAUGAAUUGACGGAA
rnacentral:rRNA from 1 species